rnacentral:rRNA from 1 species
CAGGUCUUGACAUCCUCUGACAACCCUAGAGAUAGGGCUUCUCCUUCGGGAGCAGAGUGACAGGUGGUGCAUGGUUGUCGUCAGCUCGUGUCGUGAGAUGUUGGGUUAAGUCCCGCAACGAGCGCAACCCUUGAUCUUAGUUGCCAUCAUUAAGUUGGGCACUCUAAGGUGACUGCCGGUGACAAACCGGAGGAAGGUGGGGAUGACGUCAAAUCAUCAUGCCCCUUAUGACCUGGGCUACACACGUGCUACAAUGGACGGUACAAAGAGCUGCAAGACCGCGAGGUGGAGCUAAUCUCAUAAAACCGUUCUCAGUUCGGAUUGUAGGCUGCAACUCGCCUACAUGAAGCUGGAAUCGCUAGUAAUCGCGGAUCAGCAUGCCGCGGUGAAUACGUUCCCGGGCCUUGUACACACCGCCCG